UGGCUCUGGCAUCGAUGAAGAACGCAGCGAAAUGCGAUAAGUAAUGUGAAUUGCAGAAUUCAGUGAAUCAUCGAAUCUUUGAACGCACAUUGCGCCCGCCAGCAUUCUGGCGGGCAUGCCUGUCCGAGCGUCAUUUCAACCCUCAGGGUCCCCCGGGAACCUGGUGUUGGGGAUCGGCCCCGCCCGCACGGGCGUCGCCGUCCCCCAAAUGCAGUGGCGGUCCCGCCGCAGCCUCCCCUGCGUAGUAGCUAACACCUCGCACCGGAGCGCGGCGCGGCCACGCCGUAAAACCCCCGACCUCAUGAACGUUGACCUCGGAUCAGGUAGGAAUACCCGCUGA
rnacentral:misc_RNA from 1 species